rnacentral:rRNA from 1 species
GACGAACGCUGGCGGCGUGCCUAAUACAUGCAAGUCGAGCGAAGCGGGGACGGGUGAGUAACACGUAAGGAACCUCCGAUAAGCGGGGGACAACAUCCGGAAACGGGUGCUAAACCGCAUAAUUAUCGCUGGCCUGUGUGCAUUAGCUGGUUGGUGGGGUAACGGCGUACCAGUCAAUGACGCAUAGCCGACCGAGAGGGUAAUCGGCCACAUUGGGACUGAGACACGGCCCAAACUCCUACGGGAGGCAGCAGUAGGGAAUAUUCCGCAAUGGGCGCAAGCCUGACAGAGCCACGCCGCGUGAGUGAAGAAGGUUUUCGGAUCGUAAAGCUCUUUUGUAAGAGAAGCGGUAUCUUACCAGAAAGCCACGGCUAACUACGUGCCAGCUGCCGCGGUAAUAC